ACGUCAGGUAGUAGAAAUAAGAAAAAAAAAUGAAAACUUAAAAAAUAUGGAUCUAUCUAGAUUGUGGAAGGAGACCAAACAUGCACCGAUGGAAUCUGAUUUUUGAGAUUAGGAAAGUCAGCUUCCUAUUUAGAUCGUCGCUGGUCAGAGCUAGAUCCGUCAUCUCUAAGCUCAUGUGUGCUUUUUCAUAUCACUGUAUCACACUGGAAAUAAGAUUUUGAUUGAAAUUGUAUUUAGAUCUAGAGUUGUUCCGUCAACAAUCGUAUGUUUCAUGAAAUGGUGAUGUCUUCUUCAGCUCUAUUUUGCCUCGAUGUUACUCUAUUUGGGAUGAUCAACUAAGAGUUAGAGGUUAAUUCAGAUGCUGCCAGAUAUUGCUAACAAAGUUGUUUGGAACUGAAGAAGCUAACACGUCAUUUAUGCAAUGAAAUUGUAUUAGAUUUAAAUAUUAAUACCGCUAAAGU